UGAUGUUAAUAUAUUAUAUACAGCUGGUGCUGAGAUCCUGGAGAGACCUGUUUAUAUAUGAUGUUUAUAUAUUAUAUACAGUUGGAGCUGUGAUCCUGGAGAGCCCUGCCCUUCCUGUGACUGAGGGAGAUUCUGUGACUCUGCGCUGCAGAUAUCAGGGAACUCCCUCUGACCUCACAGCUCAUUUCUACAAAGAUGGAUCCCUCAUCAGGACUGAGACUACAGGAGAGAUGACCAUCCCUGCAGUAUCCAAGUCAGAUGAAGGACUCUACAAGUGUACCAACUCUGAAGGAGAAUCACCAGAGAGCUGGAUGACUGUGACAGGUGAUCGUGUUGAAGAAGAGUGAGGCUGAGUUCACCUGAUCACCAUAACAACCAUCAGAAUGGAAUUCUCAUAUAGAACUGUGAGUCACAAUGCUGUAUGUUGUUACAUUGUAGCUCCACCUGCUGGAACAAUAGUGGCAUUUGAUCAAAUGUGAUCUAUUAACUGAUACAUGUAUUAUUCUGAUUGGAAUGUGUUUUAAUAUAAUGUGUGUUGUAUUAUUCAUUCAGCAGCUGUCCUUUAACAUCAGUCAUAUACUGGUCAUAUACUGUAUAGCAUUAUGGUUGAUACAUUGUAAAUGCCUUCACUUCUCAUGUCUAUACAGAUCAACUGAUAGGUGUUGUGGUUCAGGCAUUAUUGUUACAGGUUCAGUAUAAUGUUAUAUACCAUUACAUGUUACAGAGAUAGAAAACAUACAGGAGAGGAGAAUUCACUUAUUACAAUUAUUUACUUUAUUUUCCCAUUUUGGUCUCGAUAGUAAUUCUUCAUUAUUUGAUUUGAUUUAAACAUGAAACUAAUGUAGGCCUAUUGUUUUUUGUGGUUUUGUGCAAAAUGAUAAUUAUUCUAUUAAUCAUCCUGGUAAGAUAUUGGUUUAGUCUUUGUGUCAUAUAGAAUUAAAUAAAUGAUUUUCCUCAA